CGGUCUUGAAUAGGCCAGACUUAGGGGAAUUUAUUCCUCUUGAUUGAAGGCGUAGAGAAAUCAAAUCAUGUGAUCAUAAGGGAAAUACCAUCCCCUAUGCGCAACAUGUGCCUGUUCGUAUAACAAUGUCGCAAGACUUGUUGAGCGGAGUAAAGAGAUGCCUGAUUGGUACCCGAAAGAUGGUGAACUAUGCUUGGGCAAAUUGAAGCCAGAGGAAACUCUGGUGGAGGAUUGUAGCGAUUCUGACGUGCAAAUCGAUCGUCAGACCUGAGUAUAGGGGCGAAAGACUAAUCGAACCAUCUAGUAGCUGGGUUCCUUCCG
rnacentral:rRNA from 1 species